GUUGCUCCUCCUUCUCUCCUCUUCCUGGUGUAGUUUUGUUUUGGGAGUGGUGGUUUGCUUUCUUUUCAGUCUUGUUCAAGUAUGCUAAUCCGGAUUUGCCUCAAACUCCUCUGGUAGGACUUCCUUUCUAUGAAUGUGGUAGACACCUGAAAUUCAGCCUCUGACAGCAUCAUGAAGACAUUUGGUAUCUUGCUCCUUCUGAGUCUUCUUACACUGUGGACAGAGCUGCAACCUGCAUCUGGGAAGAAAUCAGGAUAUCCUCGGAUCUGCCCACCAGACCCUUAUGUAUGUAUUCGAGGAGAACCCAAUGAGUGUAAGAGAGAUCAUGAUUGCCCAGGACGCAAGAUCUGCUGCCAAAAUCGUUGUACAAAACGCUGUGUGUACCCAGGAAACAGGAGAAAUCACAAUUAACAUUUAACCCAUUGUGUAUACAUGUAUUGAACUUGUGAAUGAAAAAUGAUUCUUUUUGAAGAAGGAUCCUCUGCUUAUCUUGUUUGUCGAAGGACCUUGGUGUAAAUUUAAACAGCAUGAAAAACUUAAAAU